AGCAGCCGCGGUAAUUCCAGCUCCAAUAGCGUAUAUUAAAGCUGUUGCAGUUAAAAAGCUCGUAGUUGAAUUUCGGGAUUGGCGCAUCGGUCGUGCCUCACGGGGUAUGAACUGGUGCAGUCAAUUUCUCACCUUCUGGAGAACCGCGAUGUCCUUAAUUGGGUGCCGCGGGGAACCAGGACCUUUACUUUGAAAAAUUAGAGUGUUUAAAGCAGGCAUUUUUGCUUGAAUACAUUAGCAUGGAAUAAUAAAAUAGGACGGCAUGGUUCUAUUUUGUUGGUUUCUAGGACCACCGUAAUGAUUAAUAGGGAUAGUUGGGGGCAUUAGUAUUCAAUUGUCAGAGGUGAAAUUCUUGGAUUUAUUGAAGACUAACUACUGCGAAAGCAUUUGCCAAGGAUGUUUUCAUUAAUCAAGAACGAAAGUUAGGGGAUCGAAGACGAUCAGAUACCGUCGUAGUCUUAACCAUAAACUAUGCCGACUAGGAAUCAGACGAUGUUAAUUUUUAAUGUACUCGUUUGGC
rnacentral:rRNA from 1 species